GUGCUUUGGUUCCCAACAGAUCAACCCAGUCCUUCAUCCUUUUCUCUUUCUCUUCUGUCUUGUUCCAUAAACGACUUUCAUAAUUUCGUUCACCUUCAGAGGCUGCUUAGCUUUCAAGGGAUGAUUACAUAUGAAUCUCAUAUUUCUUCAUCUAGUCAAAGCUUGAUUUCUAUUGCUAUCGUAUGAUUUGAGUGCUUGCGUGAUUGGAGUUUACUUGUGGAGAUGUUGGUUGCUGCUUGCUAUGAUUUGAGGAAAGAAUUCCUUGAGUGGACAAGUUAUUGAUAUUAUGGAGCUUUUGAGUUGAAGUGUACUUGGUUGAAUAUAUGUGAUGGUGUCCUACUAUGCUGGGCUCCUUGUUCAAGUGCUUUUGUUCAUUAUGCUCAAAUACAUUGCUGUGUUGUGAAAUGUGAAAGCAAAAGUUUAGUUUGCUAUUUACAAAAGUUGUGGAACCACCAAGUAUUAUGAAGGAUAACCUGGUAGAGAUUUUGAUACCAUAUGUGAUGGAUGGUUUUGAAAUUCAACUAUAUAUUGUAUUGAGCAAAAUGUAAAGUUUUAUCUAACCUUUCUCUUAGCUGAUUUUUACUAUUCAUUUUGUAUAUUUGAAGGCAACAGACAAAGCAUUAAAGUUGUUUGGGAGGUUUCUACGUACAUGUAUGCAUUAGUACUGUACAGUUUUACAAAUUUUGGAAAAGAAAGUGUAGUUGUAUUU